rnacentral:rRNA from 1 species
GACAGAGGGUGCAACGUUGCUCGGAAUCACUGGGCGUAAAGGGCGUGUAGGCGGGAGAGAAAGUCGGGCGGUGAAAUCCCUAAGGCUCAACCUAGGAACUGCACUCGAAACUUCUUUUCUUGAGUGCCGGAGAGGAAAGCGGAAAUGACCUGGUGUAGAGGUGAAAAUUCGUAGAUAUCAGGUGGAACACCAGUGGCGAAGGCGGCUUUCUGGACGGUAACUGACGCUGAGACGCGAAAGCGUGGGGAGCAAACAGG